GUUUAGGAUGGUAGACAUUUUGCCGUGUUAAAUGAAAUCUACUGACUCAAGCGCCUUCGAUCAUUAAUGGAUACAAUAUUCGGACAUGGCAAAAUGUUGUACAAUACGAGGCAGUCUUCCUUGAGUUGGACUGACGAGAAUCGCACUGUUAACGAAUCCGAGUUGUACGAAUUACUCAAGGCUUGCCUACCUACCUAAUGAGGACGUAAAAAAAUGCGCAGAUUUGGACGUUUACCGGCAUGUCUUGGAUGUAGAUUUUUUUUUUCUCGAAAAAGGUGUCGGGGCAAGGCAGAUAAAAUUGGCGAAUUUUUCGUGGUUGUAUGGGACAAACUGCAUUUAAUUUUACAGUAAACAAGAGAUUGGCAUGAUAGCCGAACGUUUCCGUGAUGUAGUUCACGAUAUCGGAUUCCAAGUAAACUAUGAUGUUCUUUCAGCACUCAUUUUACGUAUGUGCAAAAAGAUGUCACAGUAGACACUACGUUUCGGAGAUUUCUUCUCAGCUGUCAUUCACAUCACCGUAGCAUUUGAUAUCACAAUGUAUAGAAACUACUGAGGAGGAAUUCCGCUUCAUCUAAAAGGCCAAUGGAUUCGAGCUCAACUAUCAAAUACAAACAGAAAAACUGGAAGUCAUACGGAAAGAAAAGACAGCAAAGAAAGAAAAAUAACAAGACGGGAAGGAAAAAGUAAAUGAGCCCACCACAAAAUACCCCCAACCCUCCCAGCUAAUGUGACUAUUGUCAUGGAAAACUAUGUCAGCAGUGCAGGGCUGAGUUUGUCUUUAUUUUGCCCGUAAGCAGACAAAAGGUUGAAACAGUAGAGGAAGUAGAGAAAAUUGCCGUAAAACCAGUUUUGAAAAUGUCGAGCACGGAAUAAGCGAACGAUUUUACCCGACAAUUCGCUUGAAACGAUCUUUGAUUAUCUACUGUUACGGACCUAAAUGUAUAAAAUACGUCGCGUCCGUGAAGUACUGCAGUGACAAGUGCGGGUUAAAAUUGGCCACAACUCGUAUAAACCAGGCUAACUUAACCCAUUUGAAAGGUUUUGGGAAAAAAUGUCUGUAGGUAAGUCCUGUCAAUAUUUUCCCGCAGCGCAUUCAAGAACGGGGCUUAACGCCUUGCAUAGCUAUAAGAAAACAAUAAGAAAUAAUUAAGAACACAUUUGUUAAGCAGCGAAACGAACCACGGGAACUUCUGAGAGAAGAAUCAAAACGUUCCAUUUCAUCGAGUUAAACAUUCAUCGAGUUAAAUCGGUUUUAUUUUUUUUUACUGGUGAUGUGUUUCUUGGUAAAAUGAAACUCACCAGAAAGUCAGGAACUGGGCAUAACUAUAGCAUAGGCUAACAAAUUUACGUUUCACAGAAACUGAGGACGAAGCACAUGAGGUAGGCGAUAUAGAGAAGUAGUCCGUAACUGUCCCGUGCAUCACUUGCGGCAUCGCUAUUACGGCCAGGAAUGCAAUCCGACACCUGGAGCCAUGUACCAGCAAAUACGAAAGCUAUGCUCUUCCCUCGGCUCAAUAUUCCAAACUUAAAAAAGCCGACGAUAUUAUGUGACUUAGCAAUCCCAGUAGUCGAAGAUGCUGCAAGCUACUUCAUCUUGUGUCCGGAGCAUUGGCAAGAUCCUAACAAGUACGGGAAGUCUUUGAAGAGACUGGAGAAUCCUAUCUUAUUCACAUACAGAAGUCUCAAGCGUAACUGGGAAAGAAGAAAUCCAAAUUGAAAAAGUAUGGCAGUGGCUUAAAGUUGAAGAUUUAUUCUCAAAUGAACGACAAAAUUUGACUGCCAUGACUCAGAAAAAACGCCGUUAUAUAACAAUCACAUGUGUACAUAUACUAUUUCCCUCGUUUUUUGUUGUUUUAUACGCUCGCCAAUUGAUUCUCUGGUGUCACUUGUCCCAUGACUUUGAAGUUGAGCAAUUCCUUUUAACAAUCGUGUUGAUUGAAAAUUAGGAUAACAGAUGGCGCAACUGCGCCUCUGUCUUUGUUUUGUGAAAAUACUAAGUGUGACAAGUGAAACCUAUGUUCAAAUAUUUGUGAACUAUGUUACAUUCUAGUGAUAUGUUUGAUAACAUUAAAUGGUGUAUUUUCAACUAUUGAGAGUUUUUCAUUGUUCCCUGUGUUUUUGGAGUGAGAAAAAUCAAGUGUAUUAGUUUUUGUGCAACGGGUAAACUUGUGAUCAGCCAUGCCAGAUCCAAACUAUUAUUUUUACAUUCCCAUCAUGCUAUUCUAUUGCACGUUGAGAGAAGUAGUUGGUGAAUCCUAAAUAGCAAAAGAUACUAACCAUGAGGAAAGGUUAGAGAUGACACAAACCAUACGAGUUGGAAUAUUAUCAUGACAGUAACAUCAUUCUGCUACUCUUUACUCAUUCAUCAUGUCCUGUCAGUUUUGAUCUGAAAAAUGCACCAUAUAUUGUGUUGCAAACCAUUAACCAUAAAAAUGUCAACAAUCUUCUCGUAAUUUCUACUUAGCCUAUCAAGUGGCAGGAUUUUGAGUUGCAGCUCAUGUAUCUAAAAUGAAAAGAAUGCUGGCCUCGAAGGAAGAUCACCAACAAUGCAAAAUCAAUGGAUUGGAAUACCUCAUGUAAUUUUCAAUUCGCCUCCUUUUUAUUUCUACUUUAACAGCCAACACAUAUCUUCGCUUCGCCCGUCGCCCCGUCUUCGCUUCGCCCGUCGCCCCGUCUUCGCUUCGCCCGUCGUCUUCGCUUCGCCCGUCGCCCCGUCUUCGCUUCGCCCGUCGCCCCGUCUUCGCUUCGCCCGUCACCCCCUCUUAGCUUCGCCCGUCACCCCCUCUUAGCUUCGCCCGUCGCCCCGUUGCCCCAUCUUCGCUUCGCCCGUCGUCUCGUCUUCGCCUCUUGGUCACCCCUCUUCACUUCGCCCCUUCAUCGCCUCGUCUUUGUGGUAUCGUUGUAUUUUGUAAUGUGUAAUUGUGUAGUGUUAAUUAACCCGUUGG